UGUAGGUCUCAUCGUUUACGUGUUGUUUUUGCUUUUCUUCUUCUAGGAUUUUGUAUUUUUUUCUCAGUAUUUUUAGCAAUAUUGAUAUGCAGUGUUGCGGUACCUCUUCUCAUUGUAUUGACGAUAACUCAAGGCAUGUGAUGAUGUUGUGUAUUUAUAAGUUGCAGGUGAUAUGUCAUCGCAAUAAAAGUUUGUUUCUUUCUUUUACUGAUUUUGCUUUGCAAUUGUUGGUGUUAUAAUCUUGGCAGUGAAGAAUCUUGUGGUUCAUUUUUAGGGUCUUUUUACUUUUUUUUUUUUUGUGUAGUGAUCUUUGCAACUUUGUUUCUUAUUUUUUCCCCGUGGUUCCUAUGAUUUUAAUCCAACUAUAUGUUUUCUGUUGUUAUAAUGUGAUCUAUCAGAUCAUAUAAACUCUAUUAGAAAACCAUGUUUUUUCUCUUUACAAAGGUUUUAUUCUUUUGAUUUUUUCGUUAAUUUUAUAUUUUCGUCGUAACCUCGCACCAAAGAAUUACUUUAUUCUAUGAUGAAACAAGAAUAACAAGGGAAGUCAUGAGAAAGAAACAAGAUAUUGUAAGCAGAAAGAGAAGAGCAAAUGUAUCGAGAAAGAUUUAUGCAGAGAAAAUCAGGUAACUUGGUGUAAUUUUGUUCAUGGGCGAAAUUGAAAGGGAGAGACACGGGUUAUAAGCACAAGAGAAGAAUCUUAUUGUGGGGAUAGAGAAAAGUCCUAAGCAAGGGCAGAUGGUAUGUUUUUCUUCAGUUUGAAGUUUGAAUUACUUAUUGGAUCGUUUUCUUAACAGAAGUUUGAGAUUUGAAUUUUCACAUGAUCCGGUUUGCGUAACCGGCGAAUCUUAGAGAGUUCCUAGCAUGUUGGAAUUUGUAAUUUUUUGGUCUCUUAUAUGAUGAGACAUCUUAUAUUAUUGCUAUGAUUCAGUUUAAUGAGAAGUGUAAUUGAUUGGAAAAUUACGUUAAGAAGUAUUUAAAUGCCAAUCAAAAACACCCCUUUAAAAUUUCAC